rnacentral:rRNA from 1 species
GACGAACGCUGGCGGCGUGCUUAACACAUGCAAGUCGAACGGAAAGGCCCUGCUUUUGUGGGGUGCUCGAGUGGCGAACGGGUGAGUAACACGUGAGUAACCUGCCCUUGACUUUGGGAUAACUUCAGGAAACUGGGGCUAAUACCGGAUAGGAGCUCCUGCUGCAUGGUGGGGGUUGGAAAGUUUCGGCGGUUGGGGAUGGACUCGCGGCUUAUCAGCUUGUUGGUGGGGUAGUGGCUUACCAAGGCUUUGACGGGUAGCCGGCCUGGGAGGGUGACCGGCAACAUUGGGAAUGAGAUGCGGCCCAGACUCCUACGGGAGGCAGAAGUAGGGAAUAUUGCACAAUGGGCGGAAGCCUGAUGCAGCAACGCCGCGUGCGGGAUGACUGCCUUCGGGUUGUAAACCGCUUUCGCAUGUGACGAAGCGUGAGUGACGGUAAUGGGUAAAGAAGCACCGGCUAACUACGUG